AGAGUUUGAUCCUGGCUCAGAAUCAACGCUGGCGGCGUGCCUCAGACAUGCAAGUCGAACGAUUAAAGCUCUCUUCGGAGAGUGCAUAGAGUGGCGCACGGGUGAGUAACACGUAAGUAAUCUACCUUCGAGUGGGGAAUAACGUCCGGAAACGGACGCUAAUACCGCAUAAUGCAGCGGCAUCGCAAGAUGACAGUUGUUAAAGAUUUAUCGCUUGAAGAGGAGCUUGCGGCAGAUUAGCUAGUUGGUAAGGUAAUGGCUUACCAAGGCUACGAUCUGUAACCGGUCUAAGAGGACGGUCGGUCACACUGACACUGAAUAACGGGUCAGACUCCUACGGGAGGCAGCAGUCGGGAAUUUUGGGCAAUGGGCGAAAGCCUGACCCAGCAACGCCGCGUGAAGGAUGAAGUAUUUCGGUAUGUAAACUUCGAAAGAAUGGGAAGAAUAAAUGACGGUACCAUUUAUAAGGUCCGGCUAACUACGUGCCAGCAGCCGCGGUAAUACGUAGGGACCAAGCGUUGUUCGGAUUUACUGGGCGUAAAGGGCGCGUAGGCGGCCCCGCAAGUCACUUGUGAAAUCUCCGGGCUUAACUCGGAACUGCCAAGUGAAACUGCGAGGCUAGAGUGCAGAAGGGGCAAUCGGAAUUCUCGGUGUAGCGGUGAAAUGCGUAGAUAUCGAGA
rnacentral:rRNA from 1 species